UGUGUCCCUAACCCAGUUUGAAAACCCCCCCAUAAAAAACAUGCAAAUGAAGUUGUUCACUUUUCUUGGGUAAAUGUGUAAUUUAACACUCUUAUCUUUGUCUUAUCAGUUAUGGAUGGUCUACUGACUCUUGUGGAGCCUUCUGGCCCAAAACUCCUCCAUGCAGUUUGAUUAGUCUUUAUACUUAACAUGUGUUUUUAGAAUGGAUUAGAGUACACUCAAUUUUGUAUCUUUCAUUAUAGGACGAUCAUGAAAACACUGUCUGCUGCCACAGAGAAGGACCAGACACGGAUAACUUUUAAAGGAACAAUGGUGGACAUUCAGGUGAAGAGGGUCCAUCCACCUCUGUAGCACAACUUGCCCCUGUAAGAAGUUAAUGCACCAUGUAAAACAACAGUACAAGAUCUACUUACAAGAAAACACAGAAACAUGUGGAAUCAGAAAGGAAUACCUAAAAAUGCAGCUGCAGAAAACACAAACUGAAAUAAAAUAUAACCGCUGGAGCAUCAGCUAAAUGUGGGUAAGGUGACCACAGAGGUGGAUGAUUUUAUUCAUUUUUUAACAAAAUAUUAAUAACUACUGUAUUUUCACUUGCAGGCAAUGAUGAAAUAUAAGGACUAUUGUCUUUAGUUCGGAGGCGAUUGGUGAAUCAGAAAUUAUUAUAACAGACUGAAUCUCUAACUGCUUGGCCAUCUGUCACCUCAAUGCCGUGGUUCACGUCAUCUGGAACAAUUUCUUCAUAAACAGGACAGUUUCACCUGUAAUAGUGGCCAUGUUGCUACACAACAUGGCCUCAACAUAUGAGAAAUAAGUUA